rnacentral:rRNA from 1 species
UGGGGAAUUUUGGACAAUGGGGGAAACCCUGAUCCAGCCAUCCCGCGUGUGCGAUGAAGGCCUUCGGGUUGUAAAGCACUUUUGGCAGGAAAGAAACGUCAUGGGUUAAUACCCCGUGAAACUGACGGUACCUGCAGAAUAAGCACCGGCUAACUACGUGCCAGCAGCCGCGGUAAUACGUAGGGUGCAAGCGUUAAUCGGAAUUACUGGGCGUAAAGCGUGCGCAGGCGGUUCGGAAAGAAAGAUGUGAAAUCCCAGAGCUCAACUUUGGAACUGCAUUUUUAACUGCCGGGCUAGAGUGUGUCAGAGGGAGGUGGAAUUCCGCGUGUAGCAGUGAAAUGCGUAGAGAUGCGGAGGAACACCGAUGGCGAAGGCGGCCUCCUGGGAUAACACUGACGCUCAUGCACGAAAGCGUGGGGAGCAAACAGG